GGAAGGGAGAUGGGUGCUGACAGGCACCAGGUGAGAAACACUGAGCAGUGUGUGGAGAAUCCAUCUGCCUGGGCUGUGGAGGUGAGGGCGGGUCCUGGGCAGGGAGGCCGGAGGGGCCCACAGGGAUCCGCUUGACCCCCCAGGGAGGGCCAGCAUUACCAGGCCAGGAGGUUCGGACUUAAUUGCAAUGAGGACUUCCCCCUGAAGUGUCUUGUUAGCUGAAGCGCCAACCAUGGCCACUGGGUGGAGAUGAAAUGCCCCUCGGAAAGCAGCUUUCUCCUGAGUGACUGUCUUAGGAGGCCACAUCCAUGGAAUAGAAGCUCUGCUUUUCAGGGGACUCGACCUAAAAUGAAAGCCCACCCUGAUCCCCCCACUGUGCCCUUGAAUACGGGUGAUAGUUCAUGUGUAGCAAGCACCCUAUAAGGUGUCAUCAGCUUUGUUUUGCACACAAGGAUACAAAGGCCCAGAGAGGUUAUCUGACUUGCAAAGAUCACACAGCACUUGGUGGCGAGCUUGAAUGCCAAAGCAAUCUGUCUGAUUCCUCAGUCAUGCUCCCCUCCCUGACUUUCUACUGUGGCCCCAGCUGGGUGAGGACAUAGCAGCAGGGCCCAGAAACAGCCUGGGACCCCCACCUGCCCCCAUGUGCUGCCAGCACCUCUCCCUGGAGCCUGGAGUCCUCAUCGCAUCUGACCUGCUUUUCCCAGACUGCAGACUCAACUGAACAUCCGGGGGCCACCAGGGGAGCCUCUCCGCUCUUCUCCCACGGGAUUCCAGCAUGGAACGUGAAUUGUUCCCUCCGGGGCAACCUAGUGAGCCUGCUGUUAGAGAUGGAUUUGUUUUCCACCCGUGACAGGCUGGUGGUACUCCCUUACCUCCCGCCUGGCUCCAGGCUCAGGUGACGGCCACACAAUCGGCCUGACCAUCGGCACCUCCACCAGAAGUUCCCUGAUAAGGGGCAGAAAGAGCCAACCUCGCGGGAGGACACUCCUGGCUGCCUUCCAGAGCUCUCCACUGACAGACACAAGCUUGGCAAAGCCGGUCACAGCAAGUCCAAGGAGCACGAUGUCACCCCAUCGGGGAGCAGCCAAGGGGCAGAGGCCCAAUAAUUCCCCAUGAGAAAAAUUAGAAGCCCAUGUGAUGGGCUGAGCCUGUCUGCAUUGAACGUGUGCCAUCUGCAUUUCACUGGGGCUGUGUAGACAUGUCGGGGUCACUCGGCCUGCCGCAGAACAGCAGAGCAUCAGAGCUCCAGCAGAAAUCACCCAGGGCUGGGCUGGUAAGUCAGCUCCCUCGCUACUGAUGUUUGUCCCUGUCUACAUGGGUUUGGGGCUCACAGAAACCUCCAGGCUUCCAGCUUUCUCCAUGUCCCUCCCUCAUACCAGCUUUCAGAGGAAGGACCCUAACCCCAGCCUGCAGCUUCAAGCAGCAAAUGUCCCAGGACCCUGACAUUAUCUCACUGAGCCCUCAUCACAGUCUGUGAGGCAGGUGCUGUCAUUGUCCCCAUUUUACAGAUAUGAAAACCGAGACUUAAGGUGGCAAAGCCAAGAGGUGGUGCCCAAUAAGCACGUGAAAAAAUGCUCAGCACCAUUGGACACUAGGGAAAUGCAAAUGAAAACCUCAGUGAGAUACCACUUCACACCACUAGGAUGGCUGGGGGGGCGAGAAGACAGUAACAGGUGCCGGUGAAGAUGUGAGGAGUCAGAGCCAGCAUGCCCCGCAGGUGGGAAGGGAAAAUGGCGCAGCCACCGCUGGAAACAGCCUGGCGGUUCCUCAAAAUGCUCAACAUAGAGUCACCGUAUGAUCCGGCGAUCCCGCUUCCCGGUGUGCACCCAGGGGAAAUGAAAACAGAUGUUCACACAGAAACUGGUACACGAGUGUUCAUAGCAGCGUUACUCAUCAUGGCCAAAGCGUGGAAAUAACCCAAAUGCCCGUCCACUGGUGAACAGACGAGUGAAACAUGGUAUAUCCAUAUGCUGGGGUAUUAAUCGGCAAUAGGAAUGAAUGAAGAUGGAUACAGGCUCCAACACGAAUGAACCCAAAAAUGUUUCCUAAGCGAGAGAAUCCAGGCACAAAAGGCCACGUGUUACAGGAUUCCACUCAUAUGAAAAAUGCAGAAUACGCAAAUCUACAGAAACAAAGUGGACGAGUGUUUGCCAAG
rnacentral:lncRNA from 10 species